rnacentral:tRNA from 1 species
GGGGUUGUGGCUCAGCGGUAGAGCGCUUGCCUUGAACGUGCAAGACACUGAGUUCAAUCCUCAGCACCACA